UACGUAGGGUGCAAGCGUUGUCCGGAAUUAUUGGGCGUAAAGAGCUCGUAGGCGGUUUGUUGCGUCGGCUGUGAAAACCCGGGGCUCAACCCCGGGCCUGCAGCCGAUACGGGCAGACUAGAGUUCGGCAGGGGAGACUGGAAUUCCUGGUGUAGCGGUGAAAUGCGCAGAUAUCAGGAGGAACACCGGUGGCGAAGGCGGGUCUCUGGGCCGAUACUGACGCUGAGGAGCGAAAGCGUGGGGAGCGAACCGG
rnacentral:rRNA from 1 species